rnacentral:rRNA from 1 species
UGCAUCAGGCCUGGGGGCAGCCUGAGCAGCAAUGCCGCGUGCAGUGAAGAAGGCCUUCGGGUUGUAAAGCUCUUUUGUCAGGAAAGAAACUCCGGCUCUCAGCCAAACAGGGAAUGACCGUACCUGUGCCAUAAGCCCCGGCUACCUAUAUGCCCCCAGCCUUGGUAAUACUUAUUGUGCGAGCGUUAAUCGGAAUUACUGGGCGUAAAGCGUGCUCAAACGGUUAUACUAAACAGGCAUAAAAUCCCCGGGCUUAACCUGGGAAUGGUUCCUGUGACUGUCUAGCUAUUCUGUGUGUAACGGGGAUAUAAUUCCAUGUGUAGCAGUGAACUGCUUACAAAUGCGCAGGAAUACCAAUGGCCUGACGCGCCCCCUGGAAUAACACUGACGCUCAUGCGAUA